GGUGGUAGAAAAUAUUAAAAAAAGUGCUUUGAAGGCCAAACUGGAGAAGGGUUCCAUGUAAUCUGUAGUUGAACAUGGGUCAGUCAGCCAUAAGAAAUGGGUGAGCUCCAUUUGGAAGGGACGGGUGAUGGUCGCCCGAAAGGGAGUCAGGUUCAGCCCCGAACCCAGAGCAGCAGAGGGGCACCCACGGCCCCCUCACAGCCCCUGGCGGAGGCCUCCAGUGAAGCCCCAGGAAGAGUUCUCUUAAUUUUAUAAAGGGCAGGGCCACCCUGGAUUGGGUUCACCCGAGAGAGGGGUCAGUGCAUUGGAAAGCAUUGUGGUUCUGGCGGCCCCUUAAAUAUAAUGAGACAUUGCAUUUUGAAUAAUGACACAUCCUUAUUAAUCAAUAUUUACCCAGAAAUCCUCAAGGUCACCGCGUUUCAGCACGGUGUCU
rnacentral:ncRNA from 1 species